ensembl:lncRNA
GCCAAAAGGGGGCAGGGGCAGAGGUUGCCCAAGGAACCACUAGAUGGAAAAUGGAAGAGUCAAGUUUGCUGCUGCUCCUUUUCCUCAUCAGGCACUUCCAACCUGUUCUCAUGCUAUGAUCAAUAUUUUCUGCUAUUUUCCGUCUAUCCAGCUAUAUGUGAAAAUAUGGAGCAAGGGGUUAUUGAGCCAAAUUUUAUCAUCUGGCAGCUCAGCACAGGUGGAGCUUCCCCAUCCCAUGAUGCUUGAGCCAUGGGCAUUCAGCCUUCCCCUACUGCUGGGGGGCAGGUGCUACAGCUCAGAGCACUGUUCUGUGAGGGCAGGCCACGUGGGCAGCAAUUUUCCAGUCUUGGAGCCACCUUUGGGCUUUAAUAUUAAAGCAUGGCUGACAAGGUGUGCUUCAAAGGAAAAAUGGAUUAUGGAAAAGUUGGCCACAGAUUAUUGGCACGUAUCUCUAAAAUGGGAAUAUGUCAGAUGAGAAGUUCUUCGGAGAGAUGUGAUGGCUGAUGUCAAAUCCUGCUCACCCAUUUUCCAUGACCACGGCUCUGAAGCUCACUCCCAUCCUGAAUGUCCUUCCCUGCUUCUCUGAUGCUGUUACCUUCUUUUAUGGCCCAGUCUUCAACACCCUAUUUCAGCAUUAAAGAAGAUGGUCCCUCGUGGCAAGGGCAUUGGAGAGUCAUUCUUUGUAAAAGUUCAAGUUGAAUUUGGCAAUCUGAAGAAAUUUGAAUGGUUUAAUGAGGCCUAUAGCUUGUUUUCCAAGUAAUGGUCUGGACCUGGAUUCUGUGUUUCCCUUCUCGGAAGUGGUGGUGAUCUUCUGGAACAGUCUCAUCCUACCUCAGCCUUCUCUUGAGGGGCAGAGGAACACGAUGGAGGAUCUGAAUUUGUUCAAGGUGGUAGCUGUUAUCCAAGACCAGCAGAGACCUGGUGGCAGCAAGAAUGUCAAGAUACCUAUAGCCAUGUAGAGGUAGCUGCCCAUAGAUGACUUGGAUCUUCAUUUUUUUGUGUGAAAUUGAAAUUUAUGGAUGUCCUCAGAGCAUGCUUAGUUCCUCUGAAACUGGAUGCUGUGAGCUGACACUGCAAGAGGAUGCUGGUUCUGAUGUCUUCUGCACACCUCUUUGAUCUGUGUUGAUGCAGGAUAAAUAUCAGUGAUUGGAGGCUUUUAUUUUUAAAAGCUUUUCAUUUUAGGCUUAUAUAACAAGGUAAAAGACUUACCUUUCCAGCUUUUAAAAUGAGGGUGAAAUCCAUUAAAACUGGCAGAAGAGUUGGUUCCAUAUCCACAGAGUCAACAGAGCCAAACAGAAAUAUGAAGCUGAGAAAAAAGGAGGGAAUGUAUGCAGCUGCAUGGCAUAGAGUCCAGCUCAGAACCUGCCUACCCAUCAGGCACAGUUAUGUUAAUUCUAGAAGAAAGUCUGAAGUUCUCUCACCCAGAUCAACAGCAUUUUUAGAAGUAAACCAAGAUGUCUGAUGAGAUGCAGUCAAUCUGUUGUGAGCAAUGAGUAAACAAAUCUCUCUGAUGGAGAGGAGGGAAGCCCUGCUACAGAAACUGCCAGCUGGUUGUUUGGUCUUUGCUGACCUCUGCUCGGCUCUGAAAAGAUUUGCCUUUAAAAGACCUCCCAGCAGUCCACUAAAUGCAGUUUGCUACUUGAAGUUUUAUAGCUGUGCUGCUUGAGAUGGACUGUUCUUUUACAUAUAGUACUGAGCUGUGAUGCAAAUUUUCCCUAUAAAGGGGCUUCUUUCUAGAUGAAAGAGUUGAUGAAGCUUCAAAAGUGGUUCCAUACUCUAGGAGAUGUGUGAUAGUACUGUCCUGGUUUGAGCAACCUGAACUGCAGAUGUCACUCUUCGUGGGAACUCAACCCUUUUGUUGCCUGCAGCAUCGGACUGCACAAACUACACAAUUCUUUACCCCAUGGAAGUGUCAGGAGGAAAUGUGGGCUGUGAUGAUCAAAAACAAAAGACUCUUUGGGAUCUUCGACCUUGUGCAAUUAAAGGUCUCCCUUCAAUACCUACUUCAUCAUUUAAUGUCUGUGGUGCCAAUAAUGUGCUGGUGCUUUGGUAUGGUAUCAACUCCAAGGGAAGAGUGCCACCUACUGAACUACCAGUUCUCUAUUUUGUGACAUAUAUAUCUGCCAGUUUUUCACCCAAAAUACUGACCAAAUCCUGUCUUGUGUAAGACAUGCAAUAUCAAGGCCUUGACAUGGCAUAUCCAAAUGUGUGAUGUUCCCAGUGUGGAUGAGAUCACUGUGCUGUGGCACUUGGAAACAUAAUCCUUUCCUCCUUUGUGGAUGUUUGAACGUGGAUUUUAACACGAUAAUUAUAAAAGACUGCAAUAAAAAUGAAGUUAGUAACAACCCACAUAAUGUUACUGUUAUCUGACCCUGAUUUGAACUCUCCACUGCUAUAAAAGCUAAAAUAUACUGCUAAUGAUUUCUUUGAAAAUAUGCUAAUAAUUAAUGCAUUAUUUCAGUCUUAGUCUCAUAAAAAUUAGAAAUGUCUUUAAAAAGAAUUAAAACAAUAAAGCUUUUUGUGCUUCCUCCUAGAUACUAAAAUGCAUUUUUUCAAAGUCUCUCAUGCAAAGAAAUUCAAUUAUCCUUCUAUAAACAUGGGUGGAAUAAUGUAUAUAUUUUUCCCAUAAAUUCUUUAUUCCAGCAUGACUUCAAUUGCAGAUCUUUCUAUGAUUUUCCCUACUAAAUCUUUCUUUUGGCAAAGCAAAGGGGAAAAAUCCAUCUUUGGAAAUGAACAUGCACGUGUCCAAAGAAAAAUGGGA